UACGUAUGUGGCAAGCGUUGUCCGGAUUUACUGGGCGUAAAGAGCGCGCAGGCGGUCAAAUAAGUCGAAUGUGAAAGCCCCCGGCUCAACUGGGGAGGGUCAUUCGAUACUGUUCGACUCGAAGGCAGGAGAGGGAAGCGGAAUUCCAGGUGUAGCGGUGAAAUGCGUAGAUAUCUGGAGGAAUACCGGUGGCGAAGGCGGCAUCCUGGACCGAGAUUGACACUGAUGAGCGAAAGCCAGGGGAGCAAACGGG
rnacentral:rRNA from 1 species